UAGGGAAUUUUGCGCAAUGGGCGAAAGCCUGACGCAGCAACACCGCGUGAGUGAUGAAGCAUCUUGGUGUGUAAAACUCUGUCAGAGGGGACGAAUUUUGACGGUACCCUCAAAGGAAGCAUCGGCUAACUACGUGCCAGCAGCCGCGGUAAGACGUAGGAUGCAAGCGUUGUCCGGAAUUAUUGGGCGUAAAGAGUUCGUAGGCGGCAUGUAAAGUCUGGUGUUAAAGCCCGGAGCUCAACUCCGGUUCGGCAUUGGAUACUUACAAGCUAGAGUGCAGAAGAGGCAAGGGGAAUUCCUAGUGUAGCGGUGAAAUGCGUAGAUAUUAGGAGGAACACCGGUGGCGUAAGCGCCUUGCUGGGCUGUAACUGACGCUGAGGAACGAAAGCCAGGGGAGCAA
rnacentral:rRNA from 1 species